GCCCCCGGCCCGCCCGGCCCCGCCUUCCCGCCGCCUCCUUUGUGUGCCAGCCGGCCGCAGCGUCCCCGCGCCGGCGCUCCGGGACGCCCCGAGUCCCGUUGCAGCCUCGCGGGGGCCGCCCCAAAGGGGUCCCCGUCGUGGGGCUGCGUCCAGAAAGCGCCGGGAGAAGCGGCGACCCCGAGACGGGGGGCGCCUCGGGACGGUGCCCACCGGUCCGAGUGAUGGUGAUAACGAUGCCAGCUCGCGGCCGGAGAGCGGCAGAUCACCCUUCGAGGCGCUUCGCAGGGCUCCCCAGAGCCGACUUCUCCCGGCCUCGGGGACAGAGGAGCGGGAGCUGGUCGCAGUAGGCAGAUGGCAGACGAGGGAACCCAGAAAACUGGAUUCCUGACUGCGGUGACAGCAUGAGAACGUGCAUGGCUGGUGUUGGCCAGCCUUCCUGAUGCCAGCAAGGGGAUACAGACGCAACCUCCCAAGCUUUCCAUGAUGUUCAAGUGACCAGGCGCUUCGACACCCAUCAUUAGAGGGCUGCCCCAAAGAAGCUGUGUCCUGUGUUGGUUGGUGGCCAUGAGCAGCGGUCCUUGCAGUGUUUGACCCACUUUGAAAUGUGUUUCUCAUAGAUGUGCACUUUCAAUCAGCGUUUCCCUCAUCUCGUCUCAGUCUUAUUUGAGAAAUGCAAACUGUUUAAUGCUCCUACCUGCCUCUUUCUGUGCCUCUUCCCAUUCACAGCAGAAUGUCAUUUUGUCCUUCAAUUGUGUGGCUUGCCUUAAUUGUCUGAUAGAGCUUCAAAUUGUUUAUUCCUUCAAAAAAUUUUAAAAAGUGACCUGGAGUUUUGCCAGCUCCAGCCAGUCUCUGAGUUUGGCUUUGUGUCCAUAAGCUGCAGUUGGGAGAAACGCAAGAAAUGCC
rnacentral:lncRNA from 1 species